GUAUAAGCACUUGUACUGUGAACUGCGAAUGGCUCAUUAAAUCAGUUAUCGUUUAUUUGAUAGUACCUUACUACAUGGAUACCUGUGGUAAUUCUAGAGCUAAUACAUGCUAAAAACCCCGACUCACGAAGGGGUGUAUUUAUUAGAUAAAAAACCAACGCCCUUCGGGGCUCCUUGGUGAAUCAUAAUAACUUAACGAAUCGCAUGGCCUUGCGCCGGCGAUGGUUCAUUCAAAUUUCUGCCCUAUCAACUUUCGAUGGUAGGAUAGUGGCCUACCAUGGUGGCAACGGGUAACGGGGAAUUAGGGUUCGAUUCCGGAGAGGGAGCCUGAGAAACGGCUACCACAUCCAAGGAAGGCAGCAGGCGCGCAAAUUACCCAAUCCCGAUACGGGGAGGUAGUGACAAUAAAUACUGAUACGGGGCUCUUUUGGGUCUCGUAAUUGGAAUGAGAACAAUUUAAAUCCCUUAACGAGGAACAAUUGGAGGGCAAGUCUGGUGCCAGCAGCCGCGGUAAUUCCAGCUCCAAUAGCGUAUAUUAAAGUUGUUGCAGUUAAAAAGCUCGUAGUUGAACCUUGGGUCUGGCUGGCCGGUCCGCCUCACCGCGAGUACUGGUCCGGCUGGACCUUUCCUUCUGGGGAACCUCAUGGCCUUCACUGGCUGUGGGGGGAACCAGGACUUUUACUGUGAAAAAAUUAGAGUGUUCAAAGCAGGCCUUUGCUCGAAUACAUUAGCAUGGAAUAAUAGAAUAGGACGUGCGGUUCUAUUUUGUUGGUUUCUAGGACCGCCGUAAUGAUUAAUAGGGAUAGUCGGGGGCGUCAGUAUUCAGCUGUCAGAGGUGAAAUUCUUGGAUUUGCUGAAGACUAACUACUGCGAAAGCAUUCGCCAAGGAUGUUUUCAUUAAUCAGGGAACGAAAGUUAGGGGAUCGAAGACGAUCAGAUACCGUCGUAGUCUUAACCAUAAACUAUGCCGACUAGGGAUCGGACGGGAUUCUAUAAUGACCCGUUCGGCACCUUACGAGAAAUCAAAGU
rnacentral:rRNA from 1 species